rnacentral:rRNA from 1 species
AUUGAACGCUGGCGGCAGGCCUAACACAUGCAAGUCGAACGAGUGGCGGACGGGUGAGUAAUGUCUGGGAAACUGCCUGAUGGAGGGGGAUAACUACUGGAAACGGUAGCUAAUACCGCAUACCAUCGGAUGUGCCCAGAUUGGAUUAGCUAGUAGGUGGGGUAAAGGCUCACCUAGGCGACGAUCCCUAGCUGGUCUGAGAGGAUGACGGGCCAAACGGGAACUGAAACAGGGUCCAGACUCCUAGGGGAGUCAGCAGUGGGGAAUAUUGCACAUUGGGGGCAAGCCUGAUGCAGCCAUGCCGGGUGUAGGAAGCAGGCCUUCGGGUUGUAAAGUACUUUCAGCGGGGAGGCGUUACCCGCAGAAGAAGCACCGGCUAACUCCGUGCCAGCCGCCGCGGUAAUAC